UUACUGUAAGAAUAAGCACCGGCUAAUUCCGUGCCAGCAGCCGCGGUAAUACGGAAGGUGCAAGCGUUAUCCGGUUUUAUUGGGUUUAAAGGGUGCGUAGGCGGCUUAUUAAGUCAGUUGUGAAAUCCUAGUGCUUAACGCUAGAACUGCAAUUGAUACUAUUAGGCUUGAGUUAAGAAUAGGUAAGUAGAAUUUAUGGUGUAGUAGUGAAAUGCUUAGAUAUCAUAAGGAAUACCAAUAGCGUAGGCAGCUUACUGGUCUUUAACUGACGCUGAGGCACGAAAGCGUGGGGAGCAAACAGGAUUAGAUACCCUGGUAGUCCACGCCGUAAACGAUGAUCACUCGGUAUACAUAAAUUUAUGUGUGUCUAAGCGAAAGCGUUAAGUGAUCCACAA
rnacentral:rRNA from 2 species